GACGAACCGUGCGAACGUUGUUCGGAAUCACUGGGCUUAAAGGGCGCGUAGGCGGCCUAUCAAGUCAGGGGUGAAAGCUUCCGGCUCAACCGGAAAAGUGCCUUUGAUACUGGUGGGCUUGAGGGAGGUAGGGGCAGAUGGAACUUCCGGUGGAGCGGUGAAAUGUGUUGAUAUCGGAAGGAACGCCGGUGGCGAAAGCGAUCUGCUGGACCUCUUCUGACGCUGAGGCGCGAAAGCUAGGGUAGCGAACGGG
rnacentral:rRNA from 1 species